GUGCCAGCAGCCGCGGUAAUACAGAGGUCCCAAGCGUUGUUCGGAUUUACUGGGCGUAAAGGGAGCGUAGGUGGCAGAUUAAGUCUGACGUGAAAGCUCUGAGCUUAACUCAGAAAUGGCGUUAGAUACUAGUUUGCUUGAGGAUUGGAGGGGAGAUUGGAAUUCUCGGUGUAGCAGUGAAAUGCGUAGAUAUCGAGAGGAACACCAGUGGCGAAGGCGAAUCUCUGGACAAUUCCUGACACUGAUGCUCGAAAGCUAGGGGAGCAAACGGGAUUAGAAACCCUCGUAGUCC
rnacentral:rRNA from 1 species